UGGUAGCGGCAGCGGAGGAACUGGGAUUGCAAUCGGCGGCGGCAAGUGGAAAGAUUCAAGCGGCGGCGGCGGAUGUCUCCACUGAGGAAGCGGACCCGCGAGAAGCAGAGUCUGGAGAAGCGGACCAGCUUUCAUGACGGCCUGCAACAGCUUACCCUUUUCCGGCAAUGGCUUAUCGGAGACCCAAUCGGCGAUUUCCGGUGGUGGGGGAACGGGAGACGAAACCGAAACGAUACUCUCGUCGCAAUCGGAGGAAGAGAAAGCAUUUUGGGAGUCGAAUCCUUUUGUGGGGUCGUCGUCAAUGGUGGAAAUUCCAGAGAGAGGAGGACGAUGAUGAUGGUGGAA
rnacentral:misc_RNA from 1 species